rnacentral:rRNA from 1 species
UACAGAGGGUGCAAGCGUUGUUCGGAAUUAUUGGGCGUAAAGCGCGUGUAGGCGGCUUUGCAAGUCGGGUGUGAAAGCCCUCGGCUCAACCGAGGAAGUGCGCCCGAAACUGCAGAGCUUGAGUACUGGAGAGGAUGGUGGAAUUCCCCAAGUAGAGGUGAAAUUCGUAGAUAUGGGGAGGAACACCGGUGGCGAAGGCGACCAUCUGGACGGAUACUGACGCUGAGACGCGAAAGCGUGGGGAGCAAACAGG